rnacentral:rRNA from 1 species
GACGAACGCUGGCGGCGUGCUUAACACAUGCAAGUCGAACGGAAAGGCCUGCUUUCCCUUGUGGAUUGCGGGUACUCGAGUGGCGAACGGGUGAGUAACACGUGAGUGAUCUGCCCCCAACUUGGGUAUAAGCCUGGGAAACUGGGUCUAAUUCCCGAUAGGACUGCAGGGUGGUGCCUGUGGUGGAAAACGAUUUUCUAGUGGUUGGGGAUGAGCUCGCGGCCUAUCAGCUUGUUGGUGGGGUAAUGGCCUACCAAGGCGGCGACGGGUAGCCGGCCUGAGAGGGUGGACGGCCACAUUGGGACUGGGGUACGGCCCAGACUGCUACGGGAGGCAGGAGUGGGGAAUAUUGCACAAUGGGCGGAAGCCUGAUGCAGCGACGCCGCGUGGGAGGUGACGGCCUUCGGGUUGUAAACUCCUUUGGAACGCGAGGAAGCCACCUGGUUGGAAGGGUGGUGACGGUAGUGGUAGAAGAAGCACCGGCUAACUACGUG